AGAGUUUGAUCCUGGCUCAGGAUGAACGCUGGCGGCGUGUCUAAGGCAUGCAAGUCGAACGAUAUAGUGGCAAACGGGAGAGUAAGACAGUGGAAACCUACCCCAAAGAUGAGGACAACCAUUAGAAAUGAUGGCUAAUACUCGAUGGUCUUAUUUCACACAAGUGAAAUAAGUAAAGCUUUUGCGCUUUGGGAGGGUCCUUUGACCUAUCAGCUUGUUGGUGAGGUAACGGCUCACCAAGGCAGCGACGGGUAGCGGGUGUGAGAGCAUGACCCGUCUCACUGGAACUGAGACACUGUCCAGACACCUACGGGUGGCUGCAGUCAAGAAUCUUCCUCAAUGGGGGAAACCCCGAAGGAGCGACGCCGCGUGCAGGAAGAAGCUUUUCGGAGUGUAAACUGCUUUUCUGUAGGAAAAAUUAGUGAUGGUACUACAGGAAUAAGGGGCUGCUAACUUCGUGCCAGCAGCAGCGGUAAUACGAGGGCCCCGAGCGUUAUCCGGAUUUAUUGGGCGUAAAGAGCUAAAAGGCGGUUUGAUUAGUCGAGUGUGAAAGCCCAGAACUCAAUUCUGGAUCCGCAUUCGAAACUGUCAAACUUGAGGACGGAAGAGGCAAGCGGAAUUGCUGGUGUAGCAGUAAAAUGCGUUAAUAUCAGCAGGAACACCAAUGGCGAAGGCAGCUUGCUAGGACGUUUCUGACGCUAAAUAGCGAAAGCGUGGGUAGCGAAAGGGAUUAGAUACCCCUGUAGUCCACGCCGUAAACGGUGGAUGCUAGGUAUUGGGGGAUUUGACCCCCUCAGUAUCGUUUAGCUAACGCGUUAAGCAUCCCGCCUGGGGAGUACGGUCGCAAGACUAAAACUCAAAGGAAUUGACGGGGACCCGCACAAGCGGUGGAGCAUGUGGUUUAAUUCGACGCUAAGCGAGGAACCUUACCAGGCCUUGACAUCUUGAGAAUGCUUUAGAAAUAAAGCAGUGCCUUCGGGAACUCAAUGACAGGUGAUGCAUGGUUGCCGUCAGCUCGUGCCGUGAGGUGUACCCUUAAGUGGGGUAACGAGCGCAACCCUUAUGCUAUGUUAAAUAUUCAUAGCAGACUGCCGGUGAUAAACCGGAGGAAGGCGGGGAUGACGUCAAAUCAGCAUGUCCCUUAUGGCCUGGGCGACACACGUGCUACAAUGGGUGUGACAAUGGGAAGCCAAGUCGCGAGACGGAGCAAAUCCCACCAAACGCACCCUCAGUUCGGAUUGAAGGCUGAAAUUCGCCUUCAUGAAGUUGGAAUCGCUAGUAAACGCGUAUCAGCCAUGGCGCGUUGAAUACGUUCCCGGGUCUUGUACACACCGCCCGUCACAUCAGGGAAGCUGGCAAUACCCGAAGGCCCUGCAUUAAGCAGGGACGAAGGUAGGGCUAGUGACAAGGAUGAAGUCGUAACAAGGCA
rnacentral:rRNA from 1 species